GACGAACGCUGGCGGCGUGCCUAAUACAUGCAAGUCGAACGCUUCUUUCCUCCCGAGUGCUUGCACUCAAUUGGAAAGAGGAGUGGCGGACGGGUGAGUAACACGUGGGUAACCCACCCAUCAGAGGGGGAUAACACUUGGAAACAGGUGCUAAUACCGCAUAACAGUUUGUGCCGCAUGGCAUAAGAGUGAAAGGCGCUUUCGGGUGUCGCUGAUGGAUGGACCCGCGGUGCAUUAGCUAGUUGGUGAGGUAACGGCUCACCAAGGCCACGAUGCAUAGCCGACCUGAGAGGGUGAUCGGCCACACUGGGACUGAGACACGGCCCAGACUCCUACGGGAGGCAGCAGUAGGGAAUCUUCGGCAAUGGACGAAAGUCUGACCGAGCAACGCCGCGUGAGUGAAGAAGGUUUUCGGAUCGUAAAACUCUGUUGUUAGAGAAGAACAAGGACGUUAGUAACUGAACGUCCCCUGACGGUAUCUAACCAGAAAGACACGGCUAACUACGUG
rnacentral:rRNA from 1 species